AUUGAACGCUGGCGGCAGGCCUAACACAUGCAAGUCGAGCGAGCGGCGGACGGGUGAGUAAUGUAUGGGGAACUGCCCGUUGGAGGGGGAUAACUACUGGAAACGGUAGCUAAUAUCGCAUACUCUCGGAUGUGCCCACAUGGGAUUAGCUAGUAGGUGGGGUAAUGGCUCACCUAGGCGACGAUCCCUAGCUGGUCUGAGAGGAUGAUCAGCCACACUGGAACUGAGACACGGACCAGACUCCUACGGGAGGCAGCAGUGGGGAAUAUUGCACAAUGGGCGCAAGCCUGAUGCAGCCAUGCCGCGUGUGUGAAGAAGGCCUUCGGGUUGUAAAGCACUUUCAGCGGGGAGGCGUUACCGGCAGAAGAAGCACCGGCUAACUCCGUGCCAGCAGCCGCGGUAAUUC
rnacentral:rRNA from 1 species